rnacentral:tRNA from 1 species
CCGGCGGUGGGCGAGUUCCCGACGCCCGCCGACGCGGUCGGCACCGACCCGGCGUGGGUGGGACGGGUGCGGCGCUCGCCCGACGAUCC